rnacentral:rRNA from 1 species
UGGCAGACGGGUGAGUAACACGUGGGAAUCUACCUAUCUCUGCGGAACAACACAUAGAAAUGUGUGCUAAUACCGCAUACGCCCUUCGGGGGAAAGAUUUAUCGGAGAUAGAUGAGCCCGCGUUUGAUUAGCUAGUUGGUGAGGUAAUGGCUCACCAAGGCGACGAUCAAUAGCUGGUCUGAGAGGAUGAUCAGCCACACUGGGACUGAGACACGGCCCAGACUCCUACGGGAGGCAGCAGUGGGGAAUAUUGGACAAUGGGCGCAAGCCUGAUCCAGCCAUGCCGCGUGAGUGAUGAAGGCCCUAGGGUUGUAAAGCUCUUUCAACGGUGAAGAUAAUGACGGUAACCGUAGAAGAAGCCCCGGCUAACUUCGUGCCAGCAGCCGCGGUAAUACGAAGGGGGCUAGCGUUGUUCGGAAUAACUGGGCGUAAAGCGCACGUAGGCGGAUUGGAAAGUUAGAGGUGAAAUCCCAGGGCUCAACCCUGGAACUGCCUUUAAAACUAUCAGUCUAGAGGUCGAGAGAGGUGAGUGGAAUUCCGAGUGUAGAGGUGAAAUUCGUAGAUAUUCGGAGGAACACCAGUGGCGAAGGCGGCUCACUGGCUCGAUACUGACGCUGAGGUGCGAAAGUGUGGGGAGCAAACAGGAUUAGAUACCCUGGUAGUCCACACCGUAAACGAUGGAAGCUAGCUGUCAGAAUGUAUACAUUUUGGUGGCGCAGCUAACGCAUUAAGCUUCCCGCCUGGGGAGUACGGUCGCAAGAUUAAAACUCAAAGGAAUUGACGGCGGCCCGCACAAGCGGUGGAGC